rnacentral:rRNA from 1 species
UACGAAGGGGGGCUAGCGUUGCUCGGAAUUACUGGGCGUAAAGGGCGCGUAGGCGGAUAUUUAAGUCGGGGGUGAAAGCCCAGGGCCACCACCGAUGAACAGCCUUCGAUACUGGAUAUCUUGAGUACGGGAGAGGUGUGUGGAACUCCGAGUGUAGAGGUGAAAUUCGUAGAUAUUCGGAAGAACACCAGUGGCGAAGGCGACACACUGGCCCGUUACUGACGCUGAGGCGCGAAAGCGUGGGGAGCAAACAGG